AAAAGGGGUUCGCACACCGGGUCUGAGGAGAUCCCCUCGCACCUGCUUGGUUCUGUGUCUCCCAUGGAAGGCAACACACUCCCCGUGCCUCCCCUGCUCCGGAGUGCACCCCUUGUCCUGAGAGUACUCUCUUCUGGCUGCUGCAGCCAAAUGUGACCGAGGUCCCCGAGAUAAUGAAGCUCCUGCUUGUAAAAAUUGGUAACUAAGGAGAAAGGUCCUUCAAAACCUGCACCACUUCUGGGCCAAACGCCUCACUAGAACCACCGUUAACUACAAGGCAUAGGCCAGCCAGAUAAAUCAUAAAGUUUAUUUUCCCCACUUUAUUACAAAAUGAAUGUGAAGCGUGGCUAUCCUAUUCCUAAAAGUGGAAUCAGUGGGAGCUUCUAGUUUGGACUUGCCAUCACUGCUGUUUGGAGAGGAGUACAGCUCUCAGCAAACAUCACCAGCACUGGGCUUCAGAAACCAUCUGACUGACAGAACAGCCGUUUUUUACUAGUUUGGGUGUGUCUGAAUCCAGAAAGGCGGCCACAGACCCAGCUAUGUGGGAUCUGCCUGCAGUACCAUUUGCAGGCGCUUCAGUACAGUGGAGCACAGCCCUGUGAAGACAAACCUGCUAAAUAAACAGACAUAAGAACAACCCUACUCCUGAAUGAGAAAAAAAUUACACCUUCCAGACUAGAAGCAAGAAACUACAAAGCUCAACUCUGCCAAGCUGCUCUCACACCCCAGGGUUAGAUCCUCUCCAUACUGGAUGGUGAAGUCUAUGUGCUGCAGGACGAUGUUGAUACUUUCCUCGUCAGAGCGAUCGAAAGGCAGAAAUCGAACCAUUCCAUAGUCAUCAAUCUGGAGGGAGGAGCCAAAAGAAAAUGCAGUAAGGUAACUCUCAGUCACAGCACUCUAAGCCACCUCCUUAAACCACACUUGUCUGCACUGCUAAAAUACCACUCAAAGCCACGCUGCAAAACAGUGGCAAUUCCCCACUCAGAGAGUUCUACACGAUAGAAAAAGCCAUUUCCCAAAGGAUUCACAGAAAAUGUAUUGGCUACAAUCCAAACAUCAAGAGUAUAGUAUCAAUAGCAUCAAGAAUCUUAUGCUAAUCUGAAAAAAUAAAGAGCUGAGUUAAAAGAGGCAAAAAGUGAUAUUGAAUUUAAGGAUACCAGUUCAAAAGCAAUAUACCUACCAAUCCACAUAUAGAUUUAGUCAGCUUCUUAAACCUUUUGCUUUUCAAUAUAUUUGUAGAAUCUUCAAUCAUAGAAUACAUGUCUGGAUCUAAGUACCUGGGAGAAACAAAGUCAUCAUGAACACUCAAAGUCUGUCACUUAGAAUGACACAAGAGAUGCAAGAUGAUUAUUUACAGAAAAAUCCAGAGAUCAGUACAAACAUGGAGCUGUUCUUUUGACUCUGUAAGCAUCCUAUUCAGCUGUUUAAAGACUAUGUUUAAUAUAAACCAAAUCCAUCUUGUCCCAUUCCAAAAGAGGAUGUUUAAAUUGUGAGAAACAUUAGACUGAAUUUUGAGCGAACUUUGCCUCAAUAUAUCACACUACAGAGUAAAUAAUUUUUUGGAACUUA